rnacentral:lncRNA from 1 species
GGUGUGGUCAGUGUAAAGUAGAGUGAGAGGUUCAGGUGGCUGGUUUUCACUUUCAGUUUCGAUUUUGCUUUUCGGCUUGCUGUACAGACUGCUGCCAUGCCUGCUGGCUAGGUCACUCUAUAACUUUCCUGUAAUUUUCCACACUCUUCUGUUAUGGCAUCUGAUUGAGUUCAGCCAGUAUCUGAUAGCAGCAAGACAUUGCACUGGAGGAAGAGAAUUAAGGCAUAGCAUAAGAUUGGCAUUUCUGGU